rnacentral:rRNA from 1 species
CGGGACACGUGGUAUCCUGUCUGAAUAUGGGGGGACCAUCCUCCAAGGCUAAAUACUCCUGACUGACCGAUAGUGAACCAGUACCGUGAGGGAAAGGCGAAAAGAACCCCGGCGAGGGGAGUGAAAAAGAACCUGAAACCGUGUACGUACAAGCAGUGGGAGCCUCUUUAUGGGGUGACUGCGUACCUUUUGUAUAAUGGGUCAGCGACUUAUAUUCUGUAGCAAGGUUAACCGAAUAGGGGAGCCGAAGGGAAACCGAGUCUUAACUGGGCGUUAAGUUGCAGGGUAUAGACCCGAAACCCGGUGAUCUAGCCAUGGGCAGGUUGAAGGUUGGGUAACACUAACUGGAGGACCGAACCGACUAAUGUUGAAAAAUUAGCGGAUGACUUGUGGCUGGGGGUGAAAGGCCAAUCAAACCGGGAGAUAGCUGGUUCUCCCCGAAAGCUAUUUAGGUAGCGCCUCGUGAAUUCAUCUCCGGGGGUAGAGCACUGUUUCGGCAAGGGGGUCAUCCCGACUUACCAACCCGAUGCAAACUGCGAAUACCGGAGAAUGUUAUCACGGGAGACACACGGCGGGUGCUAACGUCCGUCGUGAAGAGGGAAACAACCCAGACCGCCAGCUAAGGUCCCAAAGUCAUGGUUAAGUGGGAAACGAUGUGGGAAGGCCCAGACAGCCAGGAUGUUGGCUUAGAAGCAGCCAUCAUUUAAAGAAAGCGUAAUAGCUCACUGGUCGAGUCGGCCUGCGCGGAAGAUGUAACGGGGCUAAACCAUGCACCGAAGCUGCGGCAGCGACACUAUGUGUUGUUGGGUAGGGGAGCGUUCUGUAAGCCUGUGAAGGUGGCCUGUGAGGGUUGCUGGAGGUAUCAGAAGUGCGAAUGCUGACAUAAGUAACGAUAAAGCGGGUGAAAAGCCCGCUCGCCGGAAGACCAAGGGUUCCUGUCCAACGUUAAUCGGGGCAGGGUGAGUCGACCCCUAAGGCGAGGCCGAAAGGCGUAGUCGAUGGGAAACAGGUUAAUAUUCCUGUACUUGGUGUUACUGCGAAGGGGGGACGGAGAAGGCUAUGUUGGCCGGGCGACGGUUGUCCCGGUUUAAGCGUGUAGGCUGGUUUUCCAGGCAAAUCCGGAAAACCAAGGCUGAGGCGUGAUGACGAGGCACUACGGUGCUGAAGCGACAAAUGCCCUGCUUCCAGGAAAAGCCUCUAAGCAUCAGGUAACAUCAAAUCGUACCCCAAACCGACACAGGUGGUCAGGUAGAGAAUACCAAGGCGCUUGAGAGAACUCGGGUGAAGGAACUAGGCAAAAUGGUGCCGUAACUUCGGGAGAAGGCACGCUGAUAUGUAGGUGAAGCGACUUGCUCGUGGAGCUGAAAUCAGUCGAAGAUACCAGCUGGCUGCAACUGUUUAUUAAAAACACAGCACUGUGCAAACACGAAAGUGGACGUAUACGGUGUGACGCCUGCCCGGUGCCGGAAGGUUAAUUGAUGGGGUUAGCGGUAACGCGAAGCUCUUGAUCGAAGCCCCGGUAAACGGCGGCCGUAACUAUAACGGUCCUAAGGUAGCGAAAUUCCUUGUCGGGUAAGUUCCGACCUGCACGAAUGGCGUAAUGAUGGCCAGGCUGUCUCCACCCGAGACUCAGUGAAAUUGAACUCGCUGUGAAGAUGCAGUGUACCCGCGGCAAGACGGAAAGACCCCGUGAACCUUUACUAUAGCUUGACACUGAACAUUGAGCCUUGAUGUGUAGGAUAGGUGGGAGGCUUUGAAGUGUGGACGCCAGUCUGCAUGGAGCCGACCUUGAAAUACCACCCUUUAAUGUUUGAUGUUCUAACGUUGGCCCGUAAUCCGGGUUGCGGACAGUGUCUGGUGGGUAGUUUGACUGGGGCGGUCUCCUCCUAAAGAGUAACGGAGGAGCACGAAGGUUGGCUAAUCCUGGUCGGACAUCAGGAGGUUAGUGCAAUGGCAUAAGCCAGCUUGACUGCGAGCGUGACGGCGCGAGCAGGUGCGAAAGCAGGUCAUAGUGAUCCGGUGGUUCUGAAUGGAAGGGCCAUCGCUCAACGGAUAAAAGGUACUCCGGGGAUAACAGGCUGAUACCGCCCAAGAGUUCAUAUCGACGGCGGUGUUUGGCACCUCGAUGUCGGCUCAUCACAUCCUGGGGCUGAAGUAGGUCCCAAGGGUAUGGCUGUUCGCCAUUUAAAGUGGUACGCGAGCUGGGUUUAGAACGUCGUGAGACAGUUCGGUCCCUAUCUGCCGUGGGCGCUGGAGAACUGAGGGGGGCUGCUCCUAGUACGAGAGGACCGGAGUGGACGCAUCACUGGUGUUCGGGUUGUCAUGCCAAUGGCACUGCCCGGUAGCUAAAUGCGGAAGAGAUAAGUGCUGAAAGCAUCUAAGCACGAAACUUGC